rnacentral:rRNA from 1 species
AGAGUUUGAUCAUGGCUCAGAACGAACGCUGGCGGCACGCCUAACACAUGUAAGUCGAACGAAGCAUGGUAGCUUGCUACCAUGACUGAGUGGCGCACGGGUGAGUAACACGUGGGAAUUUGCCUAUCGGUGGGGAAUAACCUUUGGAAACGAAGGAUAAUACCGCAUACGCCCUGAGGGGGAAAGAUUUAUCGCCGAUAGAUAAGCCCGCGUUAGAUUAGCUAGUUGGUGGGGUAAUAGCCUACCAAGGCAAUGAUCUAUAGCUGGUCUGAGAGGAUGGUCAGCCACACUGGGACUGAGACACGGCCCAGACUCCUACGGGAGGCAGCAGUGGGGAAUAUUGGACAAUGGGGGAAACCCUGAUCCAGCGAUGCCGCGUGAGUGAAGAAGGCCCUAGGGUUGUAAAGCUCUUUCAGGGGGGACGAUGAUGACGGUACCCCCAGAAGAAGCACCGGCUAACUUCGUGCCAGCAGCCGCGGUAAUACGAAGGGUGCAAGCGUUGUUCGGAAUUACUGGGCGUAAAGCGCGCGUAGGCGGUCUACUAAGUCAGACGUGAAAGCCCUGGGCUUAACCCGGGAAUGGCGUUUGAUACUGGUAGACUAGAGAUUCAGAGAGGUGAGUGGAAUUCCUAGUGUAGAGGUGAAAUUCGUAGAUAUUAGGAGGAACAUCAGUGGCGAAGGCGGCUCACUGGCUGAAUACUGACGCUAAGGCGCGAAAGCGUGGGGAGCAAACAGGAUUAGAUACCCUAGUAGUCC